AUUGAACGCUGGCGGCAUGCUUUACACAUGCAAGUCGAGCGGCAGCGCGGGGGCAACCCUGGCGGCGAGCGGCGAACGGGUGAGUAAUGUAUCGGAACGUACCUUUCAGUGGGGGGAUAACGUAGCGAAAGUUACGCUAAUACCGCAUAUUCUGUGAGCAGGAAAGCAGGGGAUCGCAAGACCUUGCGCUGAUUGAGCGGCCGAUAUCAGAUUAGCUAGUUGGUGAGGUAAAGGCUCACCAAGGCGACGAUCUGUAGCGGGUCUGAGAGGAUGAUCCGCCACACUGGAACUGAGACACGGUCCAGACUCCUACGGGAGGCAGCAGUGGGAAUUUGGACAAUGGGGGCAACCCUGAUCCAGCCAUGCCGCGUGAGUGAAGAAGGCC
rnacentral:rRNA from 1 species